rnacentral:tRNA from 1 species
GCAAGUAUAGCUCAAGUGGUAGAGCACAUGCUUAGCAUGCAUGAGGUCCUGGGUUCAGUCCCCUGUACCUCCU